rnacentral:rRNA from 1 species
GAUGGGUGUGCGGCUGAUUAGAUAGUUGGCGGGGUAACGGCCCACCAAGUCUGCGAUCAGUAACUGGUGUGAGAGCACGACCAGUCACACGGGCACUGAGACACGGGCCCGACUCCUACGGGAGGCAGCAGUAAGGAAUAUUGGUCAAUGGACGCAAGUCUGAACCAGCCAUGCCGCGUGGAGGAUGAAGGUCCUCUGGAUUGUAAACUUCUUUUAUCUGGGACGAAAAAGGGACUUUCUAGUUCAACUGACGGUACCAGAUGAAUAAGCACCGGCUAACUCCGUGCCAGCAGCCGCGGUAAUACGGAGGGUGCAAGCGUUAUCCGGAUUCACUGGGUUUAAAGGGUGCGUAGGUGGGCAGGUAAGUCAGUGGUGAAAUCUCCGGGCUUAACCCGGAAACUGCCAUUGAUACUAUUUGUCUUGAAUACCGUGGAGGUCAGCGGAAUAUGUCAUGUAGCGGUGAAAUGCUUAGAUAUGACAUAG